AAAAAUAUCGUGGCUGUGUGCGUGCAGCUGUGAGAGGAAAUCAUCAAAUCACCAUCCGUGAGUUAUCAGAGGAUGUGCAGAUUAGUUACGGUUCAGUUCAGUACAUUAUCACUGAAGAUUUAGGUAUGAAACACAUGUCUGCCAAAUUUCUGC